rnacentral:rRNA from 1 species
CCCUUAGAUGUCCUGGGCCGCACGCGCGUUACACUGAUGCAUUCAACGAGCUUAUAACCUUGGCCGAGAGGCCUGGGCAAUCUUGUUAACGUGCAUCGUGAUAGGGAUAGAUUAUUGAAAUUAUUAAUCUUGAACGAGGAAUUCCUAGUAAACGCAGAUCAUCAAUUUGCAUUGAUUACGUCCCUGCCCUUUGUACACACCGCCCGUCGCACCUACCGAUUGGAUGGUCCGGUGAAGCCUCGGGAUUGUGGUUCUUGCCGCUUUAUUGUGGCGUGACCGCGAGAACUUGUCUAAACCUUAUCAUCUAGAGGAAGGUGAAGUCGUAACA